rnacentral:rRNA from 1 species
AUUGAACGCUGGCGGCAGGCCUAACACAUGCACGUCGAACGAGUGGCGGACGGGUGAGUAAUGUCUGGGAAACUGCCUGAUGGAGGGGGAUAACUACUGGAAACGGUAGCUAAUACCGCAUACCAUCGGAUGUGCCCAGAUGGGAUUAGCUAGUAGGUGGGGUAACGGCACACCUAGGCGACGAUCCCUCGCUGGUUUGAGAGGAUGACCAGCGACACUGGAACGUAGACAGUGUCCAGACUCCUACGGGAGGAAGCAGUGGGGAAUAUUGACCAAUGGGCGCAAGCCUGAUGCAGCCAUGCCGCUUGUAUGAAGAAGGCCUUCGGGUUGUAAAGUACUUUCAGCGGGGAGGCGUUACCCGCAGAAGAAGCACCGGCUAACUCCGUGCCAGCAGCCGCGGUAAUAC